rnacentral:rRNA from 1 species
AAGGAGGGCUCAUUAGUCUCGAUUAAUACGAGUAAAAAGGAAGAAGCAUGAAAUAUUGUUGUACGACUGUUUAAUUAAAACAAAGCACUUUGCAUAAAGAUGAAAAUCUAGGUAUUGAGUGUGAUCUCUGCCCGAUGCCGGCUGGUUAACGAAUUAACUAUAUUGAUAAAAGUAUGGUCUUAGAGGAACCCCCGGUUAAUGGCGGCCUUAGCGUGAGGGUCCUAAGGUAGCGAAACGCCUUGGCCGUUAAAUGCGGUCUUGCAUGAAUGAUGUAACGAUACAACAGCUGUCUCUAUGAUUGACUCAGUGAAAUUGGAAUAGCAGUGCAGAUACUGCUUACCUCUAGUUAGACGAGAAGACCCUAUGCAGCUUUACUGUUACUAAUUAUUGAAUAUGAUCCCGGCUAUUCUGAGUGUAUAAGGUAAUUGAUAAAAUAUAAUUGAAACACCUUUAUUAUUCCAUCAUAUUAUAAUUUAUUUAUUUUAAAUUUAUCUUAGAUUUUUAUACUAUGCACUACUAAACGUGCUAGUAUGGAAAUCAGUGUAGCUAUAUGCGGAACUAAAUAAGAAAGUCAACCGAAAUAAAUAAAUCAAACUACAAGGACGGCGCUAUAUAUAGCUCGUCGUCAAAAUACGUAUCAGUAUGGUGUGAUAAGGCAAUUUUGUGGCGCAGCUACAUAGCUGCACCGCUAGUUAGUUGACACCUCACUAUGAAGUUACUAAUUUACGAACUAUAAAAUUACGAAGUUAGGAACUUCGUAGUUUACUCAUACCAAUACAAUACGUAUUUAUAAGGUAGAACAAUUGUUAGGAGACAGUUUAUGCGGGGCACAGACCCCAUAAAGAGUAAAUGGGUGUGUCUAAUAAUAAAAAAAUUUAUGUUUGCAAUUUUUUAUAGUAAUCCUAUAUUUAAUCAUGUAUGUUCUAUUCAUAGAAUAUAAUAUGAAUGAAUUCGAUUCAUUUAUAAUAUAGUCCUUGGGUACAGUAUAAAAAUUAUAUAUGUAUUUUUGCAAUAUAAUUUCCAUGAAAUUAGGAGGUAAGAUUUUAUUUAUAGUGAAAUUAGACGUAAUAAAGUAAAUAUUAUGAGAUAGGCGCAAGCUCGAGACACAAGUUCUGGCGCAAGCUCUGGCACCUCGAGUUUGCACCUCUCUAAUAUUUUACUAUAGUUAUUAUUUAGUGCUGCUGUGCUUAAAAUAUUUAGCGCAAGCUAAAUCUAAGCCUGAAGUAUGCUACGCUUAAAUUAUUUUAAGUGUAAGCUUUUUAAUAAUAAAAAUGUUUGUUACUUAUAAAGCUUAAUGGCUUAAUCUUGCCUUACUGUUUGAUUAACAACAAAUCUUACAGUCGCGUAAGCGGGGCAUAGGAUCACAAGAUACAAAAAGGAGAGAUCUUGGAUUAUUGGAAAAGCUACGCUAGGGAU